rnacentral:lncRNA from 1 species
GCAAACGCCCAAGCAUUUCGGGUGUGAUGUCCCCAGCAUUCCAAGGAGAGAUUACGCAGCAGCAGCCCAAACGUCUGGAAUGGCUUCUUUCUAGGAGAGAAGCAAAGCCUUGGCGGAGCCAGAGCAGGAGCUUCUUUCCUGAAGGGAAGAGAACCUCCAGCCAUCGCUAUCCAUCUCCUCCCCGGCCAAAGGCCAAAGGCCAAAAGCCAAAGGCCAAAUCCCAAAUCCCAUAUCCCAAAUCCCCAAUCCCCAAUCCCAAAUCCCAAAUCCCAAAUCCCCGCCUCCAUUGCUAACAUCAGAGCACAGCAAGCC